rnacentral:rRNA from 1 species
AAUAGAUACCCGGGUAGUCCACGCCGUAAACGAUGAGUGCUAAGUGUUAGAGGGUUUCCGCCCUUUAGUGCUGCAGCAAACGCAUUAAGCACUCCGCCUGGGGAGUACGGCCGCAAGGCUGAAACUCAAAGGAAUUGACGGGGGCCCGCACAAGCGGUGGAGCAUGUGGUUUAAUUCGAAGCAACGCGAAGAACCUUACCAGGUCUUGACAUCUCCUGACAAUCCUAGAGAUAGGACGUUCCCCUUCGGGGGACAGGAUGACAGGUGGUGCAUGGUUGUCGUCAGCUCGUGUCGUGAGAUGUUGGGUUAAGUCCCGCAACGAGCGCAACCCUUGAUCUUAGUUGCCAGCAUUCAGUUGGGCACUCUAAGGUGACUGCCGGUGACAACCGGAGGAAGGUGGGGAUGACGUCAAAUCAUCAUGCCCCUUAUGACCUGGGCUACACACGUGCUACAAUGGAUGGUACAAAGGGCAGCAAAGCGGCGACGCCUAGCAAAUCCCAUAAAACCAUUCUCAGUUCGGA